AAAACUCCAGUAUGGAAGCAAAAGAUCUUUAAGCUACCAAGAAUGCUAAAACUAUUAACAAUACUUUGUGAUUUCAAAAGAAAAGCAAGAUGGAAGAGCAAACUGUUGUACAGAAGCUUUAAUAAUAGCUUAAGUUCUGCUGGCAAAGGCAACAGCUUCUUCAUGUGAAGUGUUGUAAAAUGAGCUUAAUUUGGUUAUAGCGAGUGCUUCUCCAAACAGAGAUGCCCUUGUGGAUUUCGUGAUGUGUACUUCAACAUAAUCACCAACCUUUGGAUUGCGCUUUCCAUUAUUAUCAACCUUAUCUGGGAUAAGCAGGUUCGUAAAUGAUACCCUAUGGCCUCUAUCGCUCUUACCAAUUAACUCUGUGUCGGGGGCUCUCUUAUUUGGCCCUUCAACUAGCACAAGUUGGAUUGUACCAAUUUUAGCGUCAUAGCACUGACCUGUACUCCCGCGAAAAGCUUCUAUUAGUUCUGUGAGCCUCCUCUGCUUCACAUCUUCAGGAACAUCAUCAACAUAUUUUCUGUGCGCG
rnacentral:misc_RNA from 1 species